GAGCUUACUUGGCAGGGGAAAUACCAUGACCACUAAAGUGGUUUUCCUAUUGGCAGGGGAUAACUGCUUUUAUGGCAAGGGGUAGUACCCA
rnacentral:snRNA from 1 species